CCUUUCACAGAGGGAUAGCCCAGAGAAAUUUGGAUUAAUACCUCAUAGUAUUAUGUUUCGGCAUCGGGAUAUAAUUAAAGUCACAACGGUGAAAGAUGAGCAUGCGUCCCAUUAGCUAGUUGGUAAGGUAACGGCUUACCAAGGCAACGAUGGGUAGGGGUCCUGAGAGGGAGAUCCCCCACACUGGUACUGAGACACGGACCAGACUCCUACGGGAGGCAGCAGUGAGGAAUAUUGGACAAUGGGCGCAAGCCUGAUCCAGCCAUGCCGCGUGCAGGAUGACGGUCCUAUGGAUUGUAAACUGCUUUUGUACGAGAAGAAACACUCCUAUGUAUAGGAGCUUGACGGUAUCGUAAGAAUAAGGAUCGGCUAACUCCGUGCCAGCAGCCGCGGUAAUACGGAGGAUCCAAGCGUUAUCCGGAAUCAUUGGGUUUAAAGGGUCCGUAGGCGGUUUAGUAAGUCAGUGGUGAAAGCCCAUCGCUCAACGGUGGAACGGCCAUUGAUACUGCUGAACUUGAAUUAUUAGGAAGUAACUAGAAUAUGUAGUGUAGCGGUGAAAUGCUUAGAUAUUACAUGGAAUACCAAUUGCGAAGGCAGGUUACUACUAAUGGAUUGACGCUGAUGGACGAAAGCGUGGGGAGCGAACAGGAUUAGAUACCC
rnacentral:rRNA from 1 species